CGGGAAUAGCUCAGUGGUAGAGCACAACCUUGCCAAGGUUGGGGUCGCGAGUUCGAGCCUCGUUUCCCG
rnacentral:tRNA from 1 species